rnacentral:lncRNA from 1 species
AAAGAGGACGUUUUGUGCUAUGGACUUGGAUAGGUGAAAGGAGGCAGGAUCUAUUGCACAGAUGGAGAGACUGGACUUAGGCGAGGUUCCAGCUCACAGUUCAAAAAAACAGAAGGCGGAGGCAGGGUGGCUGGACACAGGUACAGGCCGUGCCAUCCCCGGGGAGGACAAGAAAAAAGUAACAAAAAUAAUUUUUGGCUUCAAGCACCCAACAAUGGAAAUGCUGAAACCCAUGUCCUUUAAGUCCUUUUCUUCUCCUAGCAGAGGGCCCUCUGCCUACAUGGGGCACCGUGGUGGCCAUUUAAUGUACUCCUGCUUGGUACCCACCUCUGCUCUGCCCCCUGGUGGCCACAGACACCAUUGCUGCUGCCUCAGCACAGUUUGACCUUGUUGCUGCCAAGAGCCACCUCUCCUCUCAUCACUGUCCCCACUCUCCUGCCAUGCCUCAGGUGGCUGCUGGCAGAAGAGCAGUGGGCUUUGUUUCUUCAGCACAUCGCAGCAACCACUGUCUUAUCAGCUCACACCCUCAGGAUCUUACUGCCCCUUUUCCCAAAAAUCUCCACUCCGGCAACCCUGGCCCUGCAUCAUUGAAGGACAUUUAAGUGACAUAACAUAUUGUUGCCUCAAAAAAGUUUUUUCCCUCUUCAACAGCUGGGACAACUGGAUAACCACAUGCAAGAGAAUGAUGUUUGGCCACUAACCACACCAUACAUACAAAUUAACUCAAAAUGAAUCAAAGACUUAAAUGUAAGAGCUAAAACUUAGAACAAACAGGAGAAAAUCUUCACAACCUUGGAUUUGUCAAUGGAUUCUUAGAUAAGAUGCCAAAAGCACAAGCAACACAUGGAAAAAAAGAGAUACAUUAGACUUCAUCAAAAUUAAAAACUCUUUUGUGCAUCUAAGGACACUAUCAAGAAAAUAAAAAGAAAAACUACAGAAUGGGAGAAAACAUUUACAAACCAUAUAUGAAAGGAUCUAAUAUCCAGAAUAUUUAAGAAGUCUAUGACUCCCCAACAAAAAGACAACCCAAUUUAAAAAUGGCCAAAGGACUCGAAUUGAUAUUUUUCCAGGAAGAUACGCAAAUGACCAACACACACUUGAAAAGAUGCACAGAGCUAGACAUGGUGGUAUGUUCCUGUGGUCCCAGUUACUCAGGAGCUGAGGCAGGAGGAUCACUUGAGCCUAGGAGUUCAAGCCUGGAGUAAGCUAUGAUCUCACCACUACAUUCCAGCCUGAGCAAUACACGG